GAGGGUGGUUUUGGUCAAGUUUAUGAGGGAUCCCUAGAUGGUAAAACCUUUGCUAUUAAGAAACUUAGAUAUCUUCCGGAUCAAUUAGAGCACGAGAUCAGGGUCGUUAGCGGUAUCAGUCACCGAAAUCUUGUGAAGCUGGUUGGUUACUGCAUCGAAGCACAAGAACGGAAUGCAUUGCUUGUUUUAGAGUAUUUUCCCAAGAAGUCCUUGAAGGUUAAUUUACAUAAUGAAGAGGCGAUUUUGGACUGGCCAACAAGAAUGAAAAUUGCUAAAGGUACUGCGAAAGGAUUGCAGUAUCUACAUGAAGACUGUGAAACUAAAAUCAUACACCAAGAUAUUAAACCAGAUAAUAUUCUUCUUGAUAACAACUUUGAACCAAAGAUUGCAGAUUUUGGACUUGCCUUAGUUUUUCCGGAUCAUAAUACUCAUAUCUCCACAUCAACUGUGGGAACCGAAGUUUAUCGAGAACGUUCUAAAAAGGUCUCCGAUAAGUCAGAUGUUUACUCUUUUGGUGUUGUCCUUUUAGAGCUGAUUACCGGAAGAAAACCCAUACAUGAAGACAUUGACAUCAUCGCAUGGGCAAGAACUCGAAUUCUUCAAGCUUUGAAGGAUGAAAAUGAGGGUUUUGUUGAUUCCAAUUUGCAUAACUAUAAUGAACGUGAAAUGAAACGAAUGAUUUAUUGUGCUGGAGCUUGUGUAUAUAAUUAUUCAGAAUUUCGUCCACCAAUGAAAAAGGUACUUCAAACUCUUGAAGGAGAUACACCUUUACCGAAUUUACGAGAUGAGAAAAUUGACAACAAAAAAGAUCCUUUUCCAAUGGGCGUUUCCGAAACAAGUUCAAGUGCUGCAGGUGCUGGACCUUUUGAUGUUUUACGGAACAGUCCAGAGUUCCAAGCAUUUAGAGAUAUGGUCCAGGCUAAUCCACAUCUAUUGCAGCCUAUGCUUCAAGAGUGGGAGAAAGAAAAUCCUCCUCUAUGGAGACUUAUUCAAGAGAAUCGGGCUGAAUUUCUUCGCCUCAUCAAUGAACCUUCUGAAGGGCGGCAUCUUAUACCUUACUACCAGGUUAUACGUCCUGAUAGCGGGAACUCUCGCCGUGACAAUUUCUUCCCGGAUUUCUAAAGAAUUAAUAAAAAUUUUUGCUUAAAAAAAAAAAAAAGAACCUGUUGAAGGUGGAGAAGGGAACAUCUUGGGGCAGCUGCAAGCAGCAAUGCCACAGACAGUAACAGUUACACCUGAGGAACGUGAAGCAAUAGAACGUCUUGAAGCGAUGGGUUUUGAUCGGGCACUUGUAUUAGAGGUGUUCUUUGCCUGCAACAAGAAUGAGGAGCUGGCUGCGAACUACCUUCUAGAUCAUAUGCAUGAGUUUGAGGAUUAAUUUUAUUGGAAAUACUCCCAAUCCUAUGCCAGGAGAUUUUUUUUUUUCUUUUUACCCUCUUUAUGCUCCUCAACUUCGUUUUAUAACUAAGUUUGGAGUUCUAUAAUUUGUGAAGUUUCUAGUCCACGAGCUAAAUGUAGCAUUCCAUCCUCCAGUUUCUCCCGUUUUAGGAUUUUAUUGAUACUUUACAUGCUUCUCUCGGUAAUUAGUUUUCAUUAUGUAUACUUACAGAAUUGUGGUAAUGAAAUUGGUUUCCGAAAUUUGCUUGACUGACUAAAAAAAUAAAAGUACUUCGUUCUGG
rnacentral:misc_RNA from 1 species